rnacentral:rRNA from 1 species
AUUGAACGCUGGCGGCGGGCCUAACACAUGCAAGUCGAGCGAGCGGCGGACGGGUGAGUAAUGUAUGGGGACUGCCCGAUAGAAGGGGAUAACUACUGGAAACGGUAGAUAAUACCGCAUAUUUUCGGAGGACCCAUAUGGGAUUAGCUAGUGGGUGAGGUAAUGGCUCACCUAGGCGACGAUGCCUAGCUGGUCUGAGAGGAUGAUCAGCCACACUGGGACUGAGACACGGCCCAGACUCCUACGGAGGCAGCAGUGGGGAAUAUUGCACAAUGGGCGCAAGCCUGAUGCAGCCAGGCCGCGUGAAUGAAGAAGGCCUUAGGGUUGUAAAGUUCUUUCAGUCGGGAAGCGUUACCGACAGAGGAAGCACCGGCUAACUACGUGCCAGCAGCCGCGGUAAUUC